CUGGUGCAGGUAUUGGACGAGCUGUCGCGCUAUCGCCGCGGCGUGUUCUGGUACGACUCCAGCGCAUUGGCC
rnacentral:tRNA from 1 species